AUAAUUAUUUAUCUUUUAGUAUUCUUUUUAGUGUUGACCUGAGAUCACAACAUGAACUCUUAGUUGAUUAACUUCUAAGAUAAUUUAGUAUACCUCUUCCUAGAUAAUAUAAGGACCUUAGCACACAUCAACUUCACUUACCAUUUUAUAUAAAUUGUCUAUUCUUGAUGUGUAUUUCCUAAAUUCUUAUUAUUUUUAUACAAUUAAUGUGCACUUAUAUUUACACAAACUUUCUUUUGCUGUUCUGUAUAAUGAGUACCUGAAUCAGAGUUUGCAUCUGAGAUUAUAUUAUUUUUCCUCAAGAAAGUGCAUUAAUAUGAAUGUUUUAUGAAUGUUUGCGUAUUACAUGUUCACAUGUUCUCCCAGUUUUUGUAUUCUGAAACUUUAUUUUUUGUUUUAUUCUCAACCAAUAUUUUUACUGAAUUAGCAACUAUUUUAUGAUUUUAAAAGAUACAUUCUAUUGCUUCUGGCUUCCAUUCUUAGAAAUAACAUCAGUUUUAUGUUUACCCUUUAAAGGUAAUUUAUUUUUUCCUUGAUACACCAGCAUGGUGUUUUUGUUGAUUUUUUUUUUCUUUUGAGGUUUAUAAUGCUGCUUGAAUCUGGUUCUGAUGUUCUUAGGUCUAUUUUGGAAAAUUGUCAUCUCAUCUCAUUGGAUACUGAUUUUGCUUCCACUCUUUUUUUCUCAUCUUCUGGUACUCCACUUACAUGAUUGCUGGGAGCCAUUAGCCAAGUAGGUAUGACAAUUUCCUUGCCAGCGUACCCCAUGUUGCAGUGACAUUGAAUGUAGGUGACCUUGCUCAAGGACCAAGGCGGAUUAGGGUGUUCCCGGUUUAAGAUAAUUGUGUUUAGGGCCCAGUUUAGGUUCCAGGUUUAAGGUUUAAGAUUAUUCCUGCUGGGAAUAGGGCGUAUCCUGCUGCCUGAGUUCCCCUUGAGUUCUCAUGGGAUUCAGAGUAUUUUUUGGAGAUAGAAGCCCAGUGGAGGUGGAUUUUGGGCAGAGAAGGUGGAUUUUGGGCAGAGAACGUGGAUUUCCCCAGAACGUGAUUGUAGACGGCUGGUGUGAGUUCGGGAAUAAAGAAUUGCUGUUUGAAUCUACAAGCUGUGUGGUGGCUCGUGAUUGUGUGCCCAGCCAGACUGCGGCACAUGAUGUGUUUGACCAUUUCGUUUUUGUCCCGUUUUCUUUAUAUUUGUCUCUUAUCUUUCAUUCUAGAUAAUUCUUAACCUUUCAUUAGGUUCACUGUUUUUAGUUCUUUCUAAUCUGUUGAAAACUACCUGUCAAAGCAUUUAUUUCAGUAUCUUUUUAGUUACUUAUUCAAGUAUUUCUGUUUGGUUCUGUUUUAUUGUUUCCAGUUAUCAACCCAAUAUCAAUCUCAUCUUUUAUUUUCUCAAAUUUAUAACUCAGUUCUUUUACAAAAGAAAACUAUGUCUAAUAACUAUGGGUCUGCUGUUAUCUGAAGCAUCUCUUGUUUGUUUAUUGUCCUUUAUCAUAUUGUCUUGUCUUUUUUACUUUUGUUAUUUUUAAUAUUUUAUUUAUAAAAGUUUGCUAUUUUCUCUUAUUUAUGUUACAUUACUUUUUAUUGAUUGUCAGCAUUAUUUGACACAUAAAGAGAUUAUACUUUGAGGUCAUUGUGAUAUUUUCUAAGAAAGAAUUUAUGACUUCCGACAGGAAUAUUAGACACGAGAAAUCCAAGAUCACCUUAAUCUAGUGAGUAAUUGAGAUGAUUAGAAUGUGGGUAGGUGUGCUUCAGAUUUAUAGUUUUUCCCAGGGAAGAGACCUAUAAGUAGACCUAUGAUGUCUAGGAUAUGCUUCAAAUAAGAGACGGGGAAAUGGAUGAUAGUAUAAAUGAAAUAAGAUUCAUCAUAAGUUGAUAAUUGUUGAAGCUGAGUAAUAGGCACUUGUUCUAUUCUGUAAAGUUCUUCUUAAUUUUUUUUGUUGUAGAUGGACAUAAUACCUUUAUUUUAUGUAUUUAUUUUUAUUUUUAUGUGGUGCUGAGAAUCAAACUCAAUGUCUCAUACACGAUAGGCAAUUGUUCUACCACUGAGGUACAACCCCAACCCCUCUAUUCUGUAAACUAUUAUAUAUGUUUAACAUUUGCCAUAAUAAAAUUUUUAUGGGAAAUGCCAAAAUAUUACUAGUUAAAGGAUUAGUAUACAGAUUGCAUAAAGAACUACUACAGUUUGGUGAAGCUUUGUGUGCAUGUCUAUAAUCCCAAUAACUCUACAGGUUGAGGCAAGAGAAUUACAAUUUCAAGGCCAGCGUGGGCAACUUACAGAGACCCUGUCUCAAAAAAUAGAAAGGGCUGUGAAAUAACUAAGGGGUAAACUGCCCCUGGGUUCUAUCCCUAUACUUAAGGGGGGAAAAAAGAGAGAAAGAAAAGAAAAAAAGAUAAUGCCCUCCUCCCCAUUGUCAUUUCAAACAGGCAAUUCACAGAGAAGAAAACGUGGAUACUGGGCUGGGUUUGUGGCAUAGUGAUAGAGCACUUGCCUAGCAUGUAUGAGGCACUGGGUUCAAUCCUCAGCACCAUAUAAAAAUAAAUCAAUAAAAUAAAGGUCCAUCAACAUCUCAAAAAAUAUUUUUUUAAUUUUAUAUUUAAAAAAAAACAUGUAUACCAAAUCACAAGGAAAAACUACAUCACACCCAGUAUCUCCAGAACACUUACACAUGGCUGAUAGAAGUAUAAGUUGAUAAUCAAUUUGGAAAACAACUUCACAUAAUCUAAUAAACUUGAAUGUACCUUUUCUAUGGCCCAGGAAAAAUUUGUACAGGAGAUAUGAGCAAGAGAAUUUAUAACAUUAUUGUAUAUAAUGGUAAAAAUUGUAAAAACUAUACCACCAUCCAUCAAUAUUAGAAUAAAUAUAUUGUAUAUACUUGUACGUAGAAAACAGCAGUAAAAGCGGUGAAUUGCAAGUCUGGACAUGGUUAAGUCUUGUUAACAAAAUGUUGAGUAAAAUGGGAAUUUAAAAAAAAAUUACAGUGUGAUACCACUUGUAUAAAUUUAAGAACCAAUGGAAGUAAACUGCCUUUAGGGUGUAAGCAUAAGACAUAAAUCUAUAAAAAACAAAAGAAUAAUAGUCAUAAAAUGCAAGAUAGUUAUUUUCUGUAGCUACAGAGAGAAGGAGGAAUAUGGAAGUGGCAUACAAAAUGCUUAAGAGUAUGGUGAUUAUACAUGUUGGUUUGACUAGACAGUCCAGGUUUGCCUGCCACCAUCCUAGUUUGCCUGUUUGCCUGAUAUUAUGGCUAAUAUCCCUUUCUUUGACUCUCAAAAUUGUCACAAUUUGAAUAUUGUAUGUUCAUCCUUUUUUCAAAUAACACUUUUCCCUCUUAAACUGUAUAGAGGGUGUAUGGGUCUUCAUUGUUUCAUUCUUCUGUUUAUCAUGCAUGUAUUUCAUAAUCAUUUGAAGCUAGUCAAUAUUUAAUAAUAUGAUUUUAACAAGUGGCAAUAGAGUUCAAAACAAAUCUGUGUGUAAAAUAAAUAUAAAUAGCUUCUGAUUGAAACUCUUAGAAUCUAGGUAGAUGUGGAGAUGAAUAACAUACUAAAGGUGCCUGGCAUUGUGUGAAGCUGUUUACAGAUAUCACAUCAAUUUCAUUGGAAGACUUUUAGGCAGGUAUGAUCUUCAUUUUACACAUGAAGAAUUUGAUUCCACAAAGAAUGUGUAUAACUUAGCCAAAAUCUUAGCAUAUGUGGCAGAGCAGAAUUUGAAUCCAAGCAACGUAAUACCAGACCACAUGCUCUUCACUUGCAAUGCCAGUCUAUAAUAGGUAUUCUUAACCUUUUUUGUGCCAUGGAUCUUUUUGGCAGUCUGCUGAAGCCUUCAGAACCUUUUUCAGAAUAAUGCUUUUAAAAUAUAAUGCAUAGGUUUAUAAGUGAAACCAAUCCUAUUAGAAUACACUAAUAAAAUAGUAAACAAAUGUGUACUUAUGCAUGUGCUUUUGUAACAAUGCAUUAAGUAAAAUCUAGCGGAGGGUCUAAUAUCUAUAAUUUUGGAGUACUGAGCACCAAUCAUGUCUUGAGAUAUUUGUAACUUUAGUACUAUGAUAGGAAAAUAUUUGAAGUUUGUAUAGAUGAAAAAGUCAUUGGUACUUCUAACAACACCAUGGUUUAAUAGCCUAUGUUCACAAUUGAGGGAAAUGUUAAAUUUCACUUAGAGGUUAGCAAAUAUUGGAUUGGGGUGUUGUUCUGUUGGUUGAGCACUUGCUUAACAUGCUUGAGGCCCUGGGUUUCAUCCUUAGCCACACACACACACAGAGAGAGAGAGAGAGACAGAGAGCUAGCAAAAAUUUAAGUGUAAUAUUUUUACCUACUUAAUAUAUGGUCUUCUGCUUUAAGAUCCUAAUUUGUAGACUUUCAGACAUUUUAACUUCAAUAAGGUCAUAUUCCCUAUCCCACCUCCUAUUUUUGGUUUGAGAUUACACUCAAAAUGUGUUAUGACAAAUAUAGUUUAAUAAAAAUAAUUAUUUUCCAUGUAGUAAACUUGUGUGGGGGAUGAGAAAUGGGAAUAGAAUAAUCAGAUAUACAUACUGUACACAAUAGGAAGCUUGGAGCUGCUCUAGAGUGUUUUAUGUAAGAGGUUUAAAACUAAUUCCAUACAUACUGCCACAUGUGAAUUCUUUCUAACAGAAUUCAUUAUUGAUACCACAAUGCUUUACUUAGUAUACGCUUUGUCAACACUUGUAGCAGUAUAGGAAUUAAAGAAAAUUCAAAUAGCUGGACACCUUUUUAAAGUUUUCAUUGGCUAAAAUAGAACAUCUGAAAAGUUUUUUUACUUGUGUUUCUCAUGAGUUAAUGUCCCAGCAGAGCAACUAGGUAACUUGAUUCUGACCAACAAGAAGGAAUUUCUUGGCUAAUUAAAAGUGACAGAAACCUUGGGAGAAAGUAAAAACAUACUAAGGGUAAUUGUAAGAAAGUAAAAUGGGCCCUAAAGGAUAGUGUUGAGAAACCUGAAGCCCCCAAAUAAGGUGAGACUUGUAAAAAAUAAAUAAAAACUAAGGACAUAUAAUGGACCUUCUAAAAUUCUCUUCAGAGCCAGAAGAUGAUCAGGGAAAAGGAAAGCCCACUUGCAGCUUUGGGUAUAAAUGAGAUCUAACCCAGAAAGCAACUAUUUUGCUUUGUUCUAUACAAAGGAAAUUUGAGAAGUAAGUUGAUAAAGUAAAAAGAACAUGUGUUUGUGUUUAGAUAAACCUGGUUUUAAUUGUUUCAAGACUGUUAAAUUUAUGGGAGGCCAUUGUUUUGAAUUGAGCUUCUGCACUAGGCCCUUGUAGACCACACCAAAAUGAAAUCACUCCCGCUGAAGUUCCAUGUCAUAAAACUAAAACUUAAGUUUUUUAUCUUACCUUCCAGGAAAUCAGGAUAAAGAAAAUAGCCAAAUCCCCAAAUGGCUACUUUUAUCUCACAUAAUAAGGAAGUCCCCUUUGCUCUAACCAUAUUAGGAAAGUAAGUUUGAAAUGAUCAAUCUGUGUCUUGUUCCUGAUUUAUGCUUUCUUCAGCUUUUUUUUGUUUUUUUGCUAUAAAGCCCACCUCCACUCAGCCCAUUUUAUAGAAUGAAAUGUGACCUAAUUCUCACUAAUAAAAGCCAGUUAGAUCUUUUCGAUAAAUUUGUUGAGCAUUUGUCUUUUGGCAACACUUACUAGUUGCAUUACUCUGGAUCUCCUCUUCCCAUCUGUAAAAUGGAGAUAAUCAUCCUCAGGAUUGUUACAAGGAAUGGAAGUAACACAUUCAAAACACUGCAUUAAGCUUACUGUAGUAGAUAAAUAGCAACUUAUAAAAGAGUAGUAUAAAUAUUGACACAAAGCAAUACUAUUCCCAAAUGGAGGAAAAAUUUCUGAGAAUGCAUGACAGUUUGAAUUUAUAUUCUAUGAUUUGCUAUAAAUAGUUUACAUUUCGGCUUUGGAGGGAAAGUAGAAAUGAGUCCUGAGAACAUACAGGAUCCCAGAGCAGACAGAACCAGUUAGAACUCAUAUAAGUUAAAUUCAUUUGAUUUGCAAACAUAAGCAAAAUGAACUUGAGCUAGUUUUUAUAAAUUCAUAUAUUAAAGGAAAACAAAACGUAAGCUCAACCAAUUAGAAGUAGCCAACAAAUUUAUAUGACCAGGGACUUUCCAGUGGUAUAAUCAAAUAUGGCAACUAUUUAAUCAAUCAAGUCUUUGCUUUGCUUUGCUUCUCUGUCCUAUAAAAGCUUCCCACUUGUGUUCCCUCAAUGGUACUCCCAAACCACUUGGAGUUGUAUGAUUCAUGAAUUACUGUUUGCUCAAAUAAAAUCCUUAAAAUUUUAUUGUCUCAGG
rnacentral:lncRNA from 1 species